rnacentral:rRNA from 1 species
UACGUAGGGUGCAAGCGUUAUCCGGAAUUAUUGGGCGUAAAGCGCACGUAGGCGGCUUUGCAAGUUAGAGGUGAAAGCCCGGGGCUCAACUCCGGAAUUGCCUUUAAAACUGCAUCGCUAGAAUUGUGGAGAGGUAAGUGGAAUUCCGAGUGUAGAGGUGAAAUUCGUAGAUAUUCGGAAGAACACCAGUGGCGAAGGCGACUUACUGGACACAUAUUGACGCUGAGGUGCGAAAGCGUGGGGAGCAAACAGG